AUGCUUCGGCAAGGGAUUAUUUGGCACAGCUGCAGUCCUUAUGCGACUCCGGUGCUGUUAGUUCAGAAGAAAGAUCUCAGUUGGCGUUUCUGCAUUGAUUUCCGCCAUGUGAAUGCCAUCACGGUCAAGAACCGCUUUCCUCUACCUAUCAUAGAAGAAUUGCUGGAUGAGUUGGCUGGGUCUGUUUGGUUCACCAGUUUGGAUCUGCGGGCAGGGUAUCAUCAAAUCCGCAUGAAACCAGAGGAUGAGCAUAAAACAGCCUUCAAGACGCACCAUGGCCAUUACGAAUUUAAGGUGAUGCCCAAUGGGGUUACAGGUGGACCAGCUACCUUUCAGGGUGCAAUG
rnacentral:rRNA from 1 species